UACGGAGGAUGCGAGCGUUAUCCGGAUUUAUUGGGUUUAAAGGGUGCGUAGGUUGUUUUUUAAGUCAGCGGUGAAAGUUUGUGGCUCAACCAUAAAAUUGCCGUUGAAACUGGAAGACUUGAGUGUGUUUGAGGUAAGCGGAAUUCCUAGUGUAGCGGUGAAAUGCAUAGAUAUUAGGAGGAACACCAGUGGCGAAGGCGGCUUACUGGACUGUAACUGACACUGAGGCUCGAAAGCGUGGGGAGCAAAAAGG
rnacentral:rRNA from 1 species